rnacentral:misc_RNA from 1 species
AAAAGAACUUAUGAUGUGAGAGGCGAUGGAGGACUUGAGAGACUAAAGAUUUUUUUUUGAAGGAAGAGAAUAAAGACGAGGGAUAAAGAAAGUUUAUAAAUAAAAAGAAUAAGGUAUAAUUGAAAUUUUAUAAAUGGUGCAAGUAUAAAAUUAGAAUGCAAAAAUUUUAAGCCAUCACUUUACUACUCAAAACCACCAUUAUCCAGUAACAAUCUUUACAAACAAGUAGCAUUACCAUAUUAUACAUUAUCAAAUCACGGAAACCAUCAUCCAAACAAGCUGUUAAUUGUUGCUUCACUUUGUUUA